rnacentral:rRNA from 1 species
UACGAAGGGGCUAGCGUUGCUCGGAAUCACUGGGCGUAAAGGGUGCGUAGGCGGGUUUUUAAGUCAGGGGUGAAAUCCUGGAGCUCAACUCCAGAACUGCCUUUGAUACUGAAGAUCUUGAGUUCGGGAGAGGUGAGUGGAACUGCGAGUGUAGAGGUGAAAUUCGUAGAUAUUCGCAAGAACACCAGUGGCGAAGGCGGACUCACGUGGCCCGUACUACCUGACGC